rnacentral:rRNA from 1 species
AUGCCUUACACAUGCAAGUCGAACGUGAAAGCGGGGCAACCCGCAAGUAGAGUGGCGGACGGGUGAGUAAUACAUCGGAACGUGUCCAGUAAUGGGGGAUAACCUAGCGAAAGUUAGGCUAAUACCGCAUACGAUCUGCGGAUGAAAGCGGGGGAUGCGGCACUAAAAGCUUUUGGUAAAUGUGGCCAAAGGCAGGACAAGAGUUUUUAGUGCUGCACCUCGCGUUAUUGGAGCGGCUGAUGUCUGAUUAGCUAGUUGGUGAGGUAAAGGCUUACCAAGGCGACGAUCAGUAGCUGGUCUGAGAGGACGGCCAGCCACACUGGGACUGAGACACGGCCCAG